GAGUUUGAUCGUGGCUCAGGAUGAACGCUGGCGGCGUGCCUAAUACAUGCAAGUCGAGCGAACAGACGGGGAGCUUGCUCCCCUGACGUUAGCGGCGGACGGGUGAGUAACACGUGGGUAACCUACCUAUAAGACUGGGAAUAACUCCGGGAAACCGGGGCUAAUGCCGGAUAACAUGUUGGACCGCAUGGUCCUACAGUGAAAGACGGUCUUGCUGUCACUUAUAGGUGGACCCGCGCCGUAUUAGCUAGUUGGUAAGGUAACGGCUUACCAAGGCAACGAUACGUAGCCGACCUGAGAGGGUGAUCGGCCACACUGGAACUGAGACACGGUCCAGACUCCUACGGGAGGCAGCAGUAGGGAAUCUUCCGCAAUGGGCGAAAGCCUGACGGAGCAACGCCGCGUGAGUGAUGAAGGCCUUGGUCGU
rnacentral:rRNA from 1 species